rnacentral:rRNA from 1 species
UACGUAGGGGGCGAGCGUUAUCCGGAUUCAUUGGGUGUAAAGGGAGCGUAGACGGCCAUGCAAGCCAGGGGUGAAAGCCCGGGGCCCAACCCCGGGACUGCCCUUGGAACUGCAUGGCUGGAGUGCGGGAGGGGCAGGCGGAAUUCCUGGUGUAGCGGUGAAAUGCGUAGAUAUCAGGAGGAACACCGGCGGCGAAGGCGGCCUGCUGGACCGCGACUGACGUUGAGGCUCGAAAGCGUGGGGAGCGAACAGG